rnacentral:rRNA from 1 species
UGGGGAAUUUUGGACAAUGGGCGAAAGCCUGAUCCAGCAAUGCCGCGUGUGUGAAGAAGGCCUUCGGGUUGUAAAGCACUUUUGUCCGGAAAGAAAUCCUUGGCUCUAAUACAGUCGGGGGAUGACGGUACCGGAAGAAUAAGCACCGGCUAACUACGUGCCAGCAGCCGCGGUAAUACGUAGGGUGCAAGCGUUAAUCGGAAUUACUGGGCGUAAAGCGUGCGCAGGCGGUUUGCUAAGACCGAUGUGAAAUCCCCGGGCUCAACCUGGGAACUGCAUUGGUGACUGGCAGGCUAGAGUAUGGCAGAGGGGGGUAGAAUUCCACGUGUAGCAGUGAAAUGCGUAGAGAUGUGGAGGAAUACCGAUGGCGAAGGCAGCCCCCUGGGCCAAUACUGACGCUCAUGCACGAAAGCGUGGGGAGCAAACAGGAUUAGAUACCCUGGUAGUCCACGCCCUAAAACGAUGUCGACUAGUUGUUGGGGAUUCAUUUCCUUAGUAACGUAGCUAACGCGUGAAGUUGACCGCCUGGGGAGUACGGUCGCAAGAUUAAAACUCAAAGGAAUUGACGGGGUCAUAGCUGUUUCCU